ensembl:miRNA let-7 miscRNA
AUUCUAGAUGAGUAGCCCACCUAGCAGCGGUCGUUUUUUUCUCUUUUCGUAGGAAAAUUUUCAGUUACACUUAUUUAUUAGAAACCUAGAUUUAGAGACUUUUAGAAUAACUUUACUUCCUAGAACACAUCUCCCUUUGAAUUUAUAUGUCUAAUUUAACAACAAGUACUAAUCCAUUUUUCAGGCAAGCAGGCGAUUGGUGGACGGUCUACACUGUGGAUCCGGUGAGGUAGUAGGUUGUAUAGUUUGGAAUAUUACCACCGGUGAACUAUGCAAUUUUCUACCUUACCGGAGACAGAACUCUUCGAAGCUGCGUCGUCUUGCUCUCACAACUUUCUUUUCGUUUUCUUCCUCCUCUUACUUUCACCUCUUUGUUUUUCUUUAUUUUGUGCUAUCAAUUCGGAGUCGCAAGAACUGUAUUCGGUGAUCCCUAUUGAUAUUCUUUUGUACUGUAUUCGGAGAUAUUGUUUCACGAACUGUAUUCGGAGAACUGUUGUAUCGGUAAUGUAUCUGGAGAGAAUAAUCUAAUCGUAUGUACUGUUGAGUAAUGUAUCCAUGGAGCCGUUUGACAUUUCUAGUGGUAAGAUGUGCAAUAGUUCCAAUUGCUAGUCUUCACCAUUGUAGAUAGUGGAAAUCAUGUUUAUUUUCAGGGGAACCUCAUCUGCUGGGCAACUACUCCAACAUGCGUGUCGCCUAGGGAAUGCCGUCUGGCACCAAGUGGGCUGUCACCGCAAAUCAUCAGGAUCUCACACUUCUACCUCAACACCUCUACCUCAUCCGCAUCUACCUCGAUUGGACCUAUUUUUUUUAAAUUCUUCAAAUAAAAACUUUUUUAUAAUUUAAACAUUUGAACUUGCUCUUGAUAAUUAGAUAAAUUUUUUAUUUACAACA